AUGGCGGCUUCCACCGCGUCCCGCCUCUCGCCCCCUUGCCUCCACGCUGCUCCCCACCACCCGCUCCGCCGCUCGCGUUUCUCCCCUCUACGCGCCGCCAAGUUGGAAGCUGUGUUAUCUAUUGGAACUCAUGUAAUCCCACACCCAAGAAAGGUUGAGACCGGAGGAGAAGAUGCUUUCUUUGUGGGCGGUGAUGGUGGUGGAGUAUUUGCCAUUGCAGAUGGCGUUUCAGGAUGGGCAGAAAAGAAUGUCAACCCAGCUCUGUUUUCUCGAGAGCUUAUGGCAAACAGCUCUACUUUUAUAAAGGAUGAGGAGGUCAGUCAGGAUCCUCAAAUUCUUCUAAUGAAGGCUCAUGCUGCAACUUCUUCCAUUGGAUCUGCUACAGUAAUCGUCGCGAUGCUUGAGAAGACUGGAACCCUGAAAAUUGCGAGUGUGGGAGACUGUGGUUUGAAAGUUAUUCGAAAAGGCCAAGUGAUGUUCUCUACAUGCCCGCAAGAACAUUACUUUGAUUGUCCAUACCAGCUAAGCUCCGAGGCAAUUGGUCAAACAUCUCAAGAUGCACUGGUUUGCACUGUAAAUCUUAUGGAGGGUGACAUGAUAGUCAGUGGCUCAGAUGGAUUCUUCGACAAUAUAUUUGAUCAAGAGAUCCUUGGUGUCAUUAAUGAGUCUCUAGGCACAGAUGAAGCUGCAAAAGCUUUGGCGGAGCUUGCAAGAAAACAUUCAGUGGAUGUAACAUUCGAUUCACCCUACUCGAUGGAGGCCCGGAGUAGGGGUUUUGAUGUUCCUUGGUGGAAGAAGCUACUUGGAGCUAAGCUAGUAGGCGGUAAAAUGGAUGAUAUUACGGUCAUUGUCGCACAAGUGAAGACAGUGGUGAUCCCAGACGAUGAGGGUAGUGGAGUUGAACUGGAGAAAGUGGGUGGUGAGCAACUCGCUGCUGCUGGAGUUGCAUCCACUGAACAGAAUGAAUGA
rnacentral:rRNA from 1 species